rnacentral:rRNA from 1 species
UGGGGAAUUUUGGACAAUGGGGGAAACCCUGAUCCAGCCAUCCCGCGUGUGCGAUGAAGGCCUUCGGGUUGUAAAGCACUUUUGGCAGGAAAGAAACGUCAUGGGUUAAUACCCCGUGAAACUGACGGUACCUGCAGAAUAAGCACCGGCUAACUACGUGCCAGCAGCCGCGGUAAUACGUAGGGUGCAAGCGUUAAUCGGAAUUACUGGGCGUAAAGCGUGCGCAGGCGGUUCGGAAAGAAAGAUGUGAAAUCCCAGAGCUCAACUUUGGAACUGCAUUUUUAACUACCGGGCUAGAGGGUGGCAGAGGGAGGUGGAAUUCCGCGUGUAGCAGUGAAAUGCGUAGAUAUGCGGAGGAACACCGAUGGGGAAGGCAGCCUCCUGAGAUAACACUGACGCUAAUGCACGAAAGCGUGGGGAGCAAACAGG